GGGUCCCUGGUGAGCUCCUGGAGACUCUUAAUCCUACCAGAAGUAGAACAGGCAGGCAAGCAUCUCCACUUUGAUUCCUCUAAGAGAGCUCCUUUCCCCUUGGCUGCUGACAGAGAACUGACUCUCUAGCCCCAGCCCUGGGGUUUAUAUAUGCCCAAAUGUGGCAGGGCACUAUAGGUGCCUGCCACUUUAAGGGCCUGAGCCAAGCUGCCAGCAGGUCCCUGAUUGUGGCAGCCAUUUUAGACCCCUGGCUGCCUUCAUAAUCUGGUCAGUUUCCUACUGGCAGAAGAAGCAGCAACAUCACCUGGCUGCAAGGCCACUGGUAUCAUCCUGGAGAGGGAACCUGAGACUCAGAAGGGUGAAGGAGCUUACUGAAGGUCACCGAGAAGACCAGUGACAUAGCCAAGAAUAGCACCCAAGUCUCCUAAGUACCAUUCCACUACCCCAACUAAUGAGUCAUAUCAUCACCUCCUAGACUGCUCCAUGAUGUUUCUGAAAGAACUACCCAUGUGGAUCAGAUCCAGAACACACAGAACAUAAUGGGAAUAUUGUCAUUGACUGCAAUAAGCUUUGGAAGAAACCUCUACACAGAACCAUGUAUUAUCACCAGAAUACAUUCAGAGUCCGAGAAAAAAAAUAAAACAAUGAAUAAAUAAAAACACUGUUAUGCUUAAUUUAUUGUUUUUGCCUCUA